rnacentral:rRNA from 1 species
UACAGAGGUCUCAAGCGUUGUUCGGAUUCAUUGGGCGUAAAGGGUGCGUAGGUGGCUUGGUAAGUCGGAUGUGAAAUCCCCGGGGCUCAACCCCGGAACUGCAUUCGAUACUGCCAGGCUGGAGUACUGGAGAGGAGAUUGGAAUUUACGGUGUAGCAGUGAAAUGCGUAGAUAUCGUAAGGAAGACCAGUGGCGAAGGCGGAUCUCUGGACAGUUACUGACACUGAGGCACGAAGGCCAGGGGAGCAAACGGG